AUAUCAAUAAGCGGAGGAAAAGAAACCAACAGGGAUUACCUCAGUAACGGCGAGUGAAGCGGUAACAGCUCAAAUUUGAAAUCUGGCCUCACGGUCCGAGUUGUAAUUUGUAGAGGAUGCUUCGAGCAUGGUCUGGCCUAAGUUCCUUGGAACAGGACGUCAUAGAGGGUGAGAAUCCCGUAUGCGGCCAGGUGCCUACGCUCAUGUGAAGCUCCUUCGACGAGUCGAGUUGUUUGGGAAUGCAGCUCAAAAUGGGUGGUAAAUUUCAUCUAAAGCUAAAUAUUGGCCAGAGACCGAUAGCGCACAAGUAGAGUGAUCGAAAGAUGAAAAGCACUUUGAAAAGAGAGUUAAACAGUAUGUGAAAUUGUUGAAAGGGAAGCGCUUGCAACCAGACUUGAGCGCGGCGGUUCCCCUGACCUUUUGGUUAGGCUACUCCGUCGUGUCCAGGCCAACAUCGGUUCUGAGGGUCGGUCAAAGGCCUUGGGAAUGUAUCUACCCACGGGUAGACUUAUAGACCAGGGUGUCAUGCGGCCUCUCGGGACCGAGGAACGCGCUUCGGCUCGGAUGUUGGCGUAAUGGUUGUCAGCGA
rnacentral:rRNA from 1 species